AGAUUGAACGCUGGCGGCAGGCCUAACACAUGCAAGUCGAGCGGUAGAGAGGUGCUUGCAUCUCUUGAGAGCGGCGGACGGGUGAGUAAUGCCUAGGAAUCUGCCUAGUGGGUGGGGGAUAACGUUCGGAAACGGCGCUAAUACCGCAUACGUCCUACGGGAGAAAGCGGGGGACCUUCGGGCCUCGCGCCAUUAGAUGAGCCUAGGUCGGAUUAGCUAGUUGGUGGGGUAAUGGCUCACCAAGGCGACGAUCCGUAACUGGUCUGAGAGGACGACCAGCCACACUGGAACUGAGACACGGUCCAGACUCCUACGGGAGGCAGCAGUGGGAAUUUGGACAAUGGGCGCAAGCCUGAUCCAGCAAUGCGCGUGAGUGAAGAGGCUUCGGUGUAAGCUUCUUUGUC
rnacentral:rRNA from 1 species